rnacentral:rRNA from 1 species
GACGAACGCUGGCGGCGUGCUUAACACAUGCAAGUCGAACGGAAAGGCCCCCUUGUGGGGUACCCGAGUGGCGAACGGGUGAGUAACACGUGAGUAACCUACCCUUGACUUUGGGAUAACUUCAGGAAACUGGGGCUAAUACCGGAUAGGAGCUCCUGCUGCAUGGUGGGGGUUGGAAAGUUUCGGCGGUUGGGGAUGGACUCGCGGCUUAUCAGCUUGUUGGUGGGGUAGUGGCUCACCAAGGCUUUGACGGGUAGCCGGCCUGAGAGGGUGACCGGCCAAAGUGGGACUGGGAACGGGCCCAGACUCCUACGGGGGGCAGGAGUGGGGAAUAUUGCAAAGGGGGCGGAAGCCUGAUGCAGCAACCCCGGGGGGGGGAUGACGGCCUUCGGGUGGGAAACCGCUUUCGCCUGUGACGAAGGGUGGGUGACGGUAAUGGGUAAAGAAGCACCGGCUAACUACGU